rnacentral:rRNA from 1 species
UACGAAGGGGGCUAGCGUUGUUCGGAAUUACUGGGCGUAAAGCGCGCGCAGGCGGUCUUCCAAGUCAGUGGUGAAAGCCCGGAGCUCAACUCCGGAAUUGCCAUUGAAACUGUUGGACUUGAGGAUGAGAGAGGUGAGUGGAAUUCCCAGUGUAGAGGUGAAAUUCGUAGAUAUUGGGAAGAACACCGGUGGCGAAGGCAGCCCCCUGGGCUAACACUGACGCUCAGGCACGAAAGCGUGGGGAGCAAACAGG